UGGGGAAUUUUGCACAAUGGGGGAAACCCUGAUGCAGCGACGCCGCGUGAUUUAGAAGGCCUUCGGGUUGUAAAAAUCUUUUCUAUGGGAAGAAAAUGACAGUACCAUAGGAAUAAGGACCGGCUAAUUACGUGCCAGCAGCCGCGGUAAUACGUAAGGUCCGAGCGUUUUCCGGAAUCAUUGGGCGUAAAGGGUACGUAGGCGGGUAAGCAAGUUAGAAGUGAAAUCCUAUAGCUCAACUAUAGUAAGCUUUUAAAACUGCUCAUCUUGAGGUAGGGAAGGGAAAGUGGAAUUCCUAGUGUAGCGGUGAAAUGCGCAGAUAUUAGGAGGAAUACCGGUGGCGAAGGCGACUUUCUGGCCAUAACCUGACGCUGAGGUACGAAAGCGUGGGUAGCAAACAGG
rnacentral:rRNA from 1 species